UCCUGUUGUUCCUAAACCGAUAGCUACAGACAAAAGGUUGAACAUCUCCACAGCAUGUGGACUAUCACACACUCCCUCUUUCCCCUCCAGCCACUUUUCGCCUUUAAAUACUGAAGCCCUCAAAGUCAUCUUUGAAGAAAGGCACAGACCACAGACUUCCUGUGAUUCCACGUUUAUUUGUUCCAGAAAAAUGGAGGUCUUUGAUUGCAUUGCUACUGGUGUGGAGAUAAAAACCACUGUUCACAUCCAACCAUUUUUUUUUUUGUAAACUGGACAUAAUUGGAGACACUGGUGAUUUCAUCAAGACUUUGAUUGUAAUGACAUUUUCAGAUGGCCUUGAGAAAAUGAGGCUGACCUAUAAAGCCAAUAAAAGCGCCUUGGAAAACCUGGGAUCAUACAUUUUUAUUUGCAGCGUACUGACUUGGGAUAAGUAAAGAAUGUCACUUUCUGACAGGCCCAGGAAACUCAGGUUUUCUUGGGACCUUGAAAAAAGAGUAAUUCACCCAAUUCACACAGGUA
rnacentral:lncRNA from 1 species